GUGAGGAAUAUUGCGCAAUGGAGGCAACUCUGACGCAGCCAUGCCGCGUGCAGGAAGAAGGCGCUACGCGUUGUAAACUGCUUUUAACCGGGAAGAAACCCCAGGGCGUGUCCUGGGUUGACGGUACCGGAGGAAUAAGCACCGGCUAACUUCGUGCCAGCAGCCGCGGUAAUACGAAGGGUGCAAGCGUUAUCCGGAUUCAUUGGGUUUAAAGGGUGCGUAGGCGGAUCGUUAAGUCAGUGGUGAAAUCCUGCAGCUUAACUGUAGACUUGCCAUUGAUACUGGCGCGCUUGAGUGCGCUUGAAGUGGGCGGAAUGUGCCGUGUAGCGGUGAAAUGCUUAGAUAUGCCACAGAACACCAAUUGCGAAGGCAGCUCACUAAGGCGAUACUGACGCUGAGGCACGAAAGCGUGGGGAUCGAACAGGAUUAGAAACCCUUGUAGUCC
rnacentral:rRNA from 1 species